rnacentral:rRNA from 1 species
AGCCGCGGUAAUACCAGCUCCACUAGCGUAUACUAAAGUUGUUGCUGUUAAAAGCUCUAGUUGGAUAUCAGUCAAAAAGGUACGACCCAGUUGUGUAAAUAACUGCGUGUUAACGUGCUCAGCACUAUUGCCUUUUUGACUUAAUUCAGGAGUGAUGAUCUGCACAUUAACUUGUAUGGGUCAUCGUGUCCUGAUCUUUUACUUUGAGAAAAUUAAGGUGCUCAAAGCAGGCCAUCGCCUGAAUGCAUUAGCAUGGUAUAAUAAAACACGACUUUGGCAUCAGCCAGUUCUCUGGCUGAGCGUUUUGUUGGUUUUGAGCCGAAGUAAUGAUUGAUAGGAACAAUUGGGGGUGCUAGUAUCGCCGGGCCAGAGGUGAAACUCUUUGAUUCCGGUGAGCUAACUUAUGCGAAAGCAUUCACCAAGCGUGUUUCUUUAAUCAGACUAAAGUUUGGGGAUCCAAAAUGAUCAGAUACCGUUGUAGUCCAAACCAUAAACUAUGCCGACUAAGGAUUGGGCAAGUC